rnacentral:lncRNA from 1 species
CUUGGCUACACUGGGGAGGGAUCCACAUUCAGUGUCACUCUUGGCUACACUGGGGAGGGGGGUCCGCACUCAGUGUCACUCUUGGCUACACUGGGGAGGGAUCCACACUCAGUGUCACUCUUGGCUACACUGGGGAGGGAUCCACACUCAGUGUCACUCUUGGCUACACUGGGGAGGGGGGUCCGCACUCAGUGUCACUCUUGGCUACACUGGGGAGGGAUCCACACUCAGUGUCACUCUUGGCUACACUGGGGAGGGAUCCACACUCAGUGUCACUCUUGGCUACACUGGGGAGGGGGGGUCCGCACUCAGUGUCACUCUUGGCUACACUGGGGGGGGAUCCACACUCAGUGUCACUCUUGGCUACACUGGGGAGGGGGCCACACUCAGUGUCACUCUUGGCUACACUGGGGAAGGAUCCACACUCAGUGUCACUCUUGGCGACACUGGGGAGGGGGGUCCACACUCGGUGUCACUCUUGGCGACACUGGGGAGGGGGGUCCACACUCAGUGUCACUCUUAGCUACCCUGGGGAGAGGGGUCCACACUCAGUGUCACUCUUGGCGACACUGGGGAGAGGGGUCCACACUCAGUGUCACUCUUGGCUACACUGGGGAGAGGGAUCUACACUCAGUGUCACUCUUGGCUACACUGGGGAAGGGGCCACACUCAGUGUCACUCUUGGCUACACUGGGGAGGGAUCUACACUCAGUGUCACUCUUGGCUACACUGGGGAAGGGGCCACACUCAGUGUCACUCUUGGCUACACUGGGGGGGGGAUCCACACUCGGUGUCACUCUUGGCUACCCUGGGGAGGGGUCACACUCGGUGUCACUCUUGGCUACACUGGAGAAGGGGUCACACUCAGUGUCACUCUUGGCUACACUGGGGAGGGGGGUCCACACUCGGUGUCACUCUUGGCUACACUGGGGAGGGAUCCACACUCAGUGUCACUCUUGGCUACACUGGGGAGGGGGGUCCACACUCGGUGUCACUCUUGGCUACACUGGGGAGGGGGGUCCACACUCGGUGUCACUCUUGGCUACACUGGGGAGGGGGGUCCACACUCGGUGUCACUCUUGGCGACACUGGGGAGGGGGGUCCACACUCGGUGUCACUCUUAGCUACCCUGGGGAGAGGGGUCCACACUCAGUGUCACUCUUGGCCACACUGGGGAGGGGGGUCCACACUCGGUGUCACUCUUGGCGACACUGGGGAAGGGGGUCCACACUCAGUGUCACUCUUGGCUACACUGGGGAGAGGGAUCUACACUCAGUGUCACUCUUGGCUACACUGGGGAAGGGGCCACACUCAGUGUCACUCUUGGCUACACUGGGGAGGGAUCUACACUCAGUGUCACUCUUGGCUACACUGGGGAAGGGGCCACACUCAGUGUCACUCUUGGCUACACUGGGGGGGGGAUCCACACUCGGUGUCACUCUUGGCUACCCUGGGGAGGGGUCACACUCGGUGUCACUCUUGGCUACACUGGAGAAGGGGUCACACUCAGUGUCACUCUUGG